CCCGUAUCUGGUGGGCACCAGAUGCUUAACUAAAAUCCAUCUCCCAGUAACGACGGUAAAGUAAAGCCUGUAAAUCAACUAAGCGUAAAGGUGUAUCACUGUUAAGAAAACGAAGUUGGGAGAAGAAGAAAAAAACGAGACCACUAUAUUUUCAUUCUUCGUAUCUUUUUCGGAGUAUAGGCGCGGCGGCGCGUGCGCGCGCGGAGUUGUAGGGGAGGCCCGAUCGGUGUUCUGCCACGGGGCCUUGUGCGCAGUUGUUCCGCCACUGAGUAACCCUAUGCGUAACAUUUGUUAAACUCCUACCAAAAAUACCUGAUUAAACUUAAUGAUGUACCGAUUGAGAAUCAGAUGAACCAAACCUGGAGGAGAACGUGACAUGACAUCAAACAUUGAUAAAGAAUUGGGUUUGUUCAGCGACAUAUUGAUUGUCAAAAUCUUCCUUAGGAGAAACAUAAUUAUUGCGUUAUAUAAUAAUGGAUAUGCACGUAAGUGUGAAUUGUUGAAGGUUCCACCUGAGCUCACACUGGCGAAAAAAGACAAGAGAUGCAAUUUCCAGGAGAUUUUUCUGGCCAGGAAUGUCAGCUGACAUUGAUAAACGGGUGAGUAAAUUUCACAAGCUAUGUUCUCUUGCAGGUUUCUCAAAUGUGAUGCAUGUUCUCUUUUCUAUUAAUGUCGAUAACAGGUUCACAUUUAUUCAUUCUCCAGUCAUUACAAAUAAAGAUACAGUGAGAUAUCUUAAUACGAUACAGCUGAAUUAAAACAGUUUAAACUGCAGUUUUUAUGUUAGCAAUGUAGCAAAUUGUAGCCAUUCGGUUUCAAUUUUAAGAAAUGCAGAUUUUUGCAGAUGUUUUCACUUUGACAGUGAUUGUUUAAAUCUUCUUAGAGAGAUCCUCUGUUUUUUUAAUCAUUCAGUCUUUAAUGCAGAACCAUAUAGUUGAUUGUGUUCUGCCACCUUGAUUUCACCUGUUUGAUAUUUAUGUGUUUUUAUCGGUGUCAGAGUGUGCGGUUCGUCAGGCCACCCAGAAUGUAAUUAAACAACAAGUGGAAUAUACCCCCAUAAAAUUAGGUAUAGUUUGUUAUUUUAACAUAGUCCUCAAACUGAAAUAGAUGGACCCCCCACAACAGUCAAAGUCACUCACUAAUGAAAUGUAUGUAUAUUCUGCUAAAUUCCAAUAAUUUUCUGAAGCUAAAUCUCUGUUUAGCUUUCCUGAAUGUUUUGGCGUAUGUAGCACUAGAUGUGUAAGUGAAAUAUGAACUUAGAUCUGAGAGGCUCACGUUAUAAAAUAUGACAUUAAAUUUCCAGCCGAUUUAUACUGGCACCCAGUGAGCAAAUUCAUUUCCAUUUACAUCAUUCAGCAGAGAUUCAUUUCUAAAUUGACUUUGGUCUCCCUGUAGCCUGCAGCAUGAGGAUCAGAAUGAUGGUAAAGUUAGGGUACAGCCAGUGUUUAACCAAUGACGUUUCUGAACAUAACCAAGCAUUCCACCACCACGGACUAUAAGGCCAUUCUGUUAUUUGUUCUAUAAUUUUUGCUCUUCCUUUUAAGGUCACAGAGCCAUUUGAACUGUUUUGGAUUGACCUGAUUGGAAAACCGGUGACACUAAACCAUGAACAUAAAUAUAUAUGUGUUAUCGUGGAUUAUUUGACUAAGUGGUCACAAGCCUACCCACUGAAAUUGAAAUGUGCGGAGGAAGUGACUGCACGCAUUAUAAAAUCCGUCUGCCGGUUUGGGGCUCCAAAGGGGAUCUUAACUGACCGAGGAAGGGAGUUUGUCAGUGCGGUAAAUUGAAGUGAUCCAAUACCUGACUUUAAUGCAGAGAGAAAAUGAUACUUAAAUUGCAAAUAUAUUCCUUAUUUUGGUGUCUGUACACUUUUUCAGUUUUAUUACAUAUUAAUUUUUAUUAACAGAUAAAUAUGCGAGUUUGCACCAAACCUGGAACUGAUAGAAGUCUUUGCUCUCCUCACCAUCCACAAACAAAUGGCUUGGUGGAGCAGAUGAAUGAUACUAUCCAGAGGCGGGGAAAAUGCAUCUUGGUUGUUUUUUCUCCUUUGUCACAUCGUGUUGUCUGUAAGGUAUCAAAAUAUUUUCAGGAAACACUGGUUUCAAACAUCAGUUGUUGUAUUUCGAUUUGAGCAAAUACACCUAUUCAUGUUUUGCCAAAUACUUUUGGGCAAGAGAUCAGCUACUUGUGAUGAGUCUGUCUGCAGUUAUGGUUGGGCUACGCAGGAAAAAACGAAUCGCUAGCAAAUUCUCACCGUACUUCCUCAUGUUUGGAAGAGAGGCCCGCUACCCUCCUACAGUACCAGAGCAAUAGCAGGUUAGGCUGUGAAUGUUGAAAUGUAUUAUAAUUAGUUAUUUCUCGCGUAGCUCAGAUGAUGUCUUCUGAGGCUGUUUAGCUAUGCAGAGUCCAUCAUUAAAACGUGGUUGCUGUCUUCAUGGACACUUUUAGCAGCCUCUGCCAUUUUUGUGGGUUGAAGGAGUCUGGCAAACUACGGGUCAUUUCUACAAUAUACAAUACAACAAACAUUUCUCCUUUGAUUGGGAGACUGUUUCUCUCCAAACUCUGAGGCCAGUGCAUUUAACUUGAUCAAUCGGGCUGCUUUUCAGAUUUGCUAGAUAAUACAGAUAAGAAAUUAGCGAUUUCCCAAGUGAGUGUGAGUUUCCAACUGUAACCUGCAUAAGUAAUUUCAUGAAACGCUGGACUCCCAAGGAGUCACUGAGAGAGUAUUUACCUGUCAGAUAGUCCGUGAAGAUAUGAGGGCAGACAGUGAAGCAGCUGCCAUUGGUGUUUGCACAGUGUUAACAGUCAUUAAGUUCAGCAGUUAUAUCACUGGCCUCUCACCCUUAUUCUUCUCAUCUAUUUUGUCUAUAUACUGAUUUUUUAUUUUAGGACAACUAUUGCUGUUACAUUUAGGCAGCAAUCUUCCCUCAGUUUCCUAUUACAAUUCCUUUAGUUGCUUUGAAUCUUUAAUGUGAAAAGCGUUAACUACACUUUAAUGGAAACAGUCUCCCUUCCCUUUAGAUAUGCUGUGAUGUUUGCAGCAGAUGGUCCCACCAUGAGUCUGGGCAGAAUCCUCCAUUAGAUAAAGGCUACAUGUGUCCAGCACGCGCAUAAGGGUUUGUUAGUGUAUUCAUUUUGUGUUUUAUGUAGGAUUAUUUGAGAAUGUGUCUACAGGUGUUACGCCAUUCGCAGCCAAGGCCUAAUGACGAAAUUUAUGUUGCGUUCCCUCAUCUGCAAGCAACGGUGCACGUGGAAAAACGAUUUGGCCUUUGAACCUUCCUGUGCCCAAGGGUCGGGCACCCGAAGCCGGGCACAAGUCUUCCGGUCUAAGCUCCAAAAUGCAUCAAGAUGGCAGAAGUGGCCGGUCCUAAUUGCAGAAUGCAAGAUUGACAGGUUAAAGUCGAUGCAACACAAAUCACAUGAGAGUCCAGUAAGGGGAAAACAAAAUUACAACUUCCCACAAUUUAAUGACUGAAAUGCUUUAUAGCAAACAUGCAGAAUUGACAAGAUGGUUACAAACCAAAGCUUAAGAAUUUUCUGUAAAUUCCUGAGUCUAUACAUAUAUGAAUGAAACCUCCCCACAAAUUUUUUAUCAUUUCUAGUAGUGGUUUAAUUUCCAUCUUCAUCCUUCUACGUAAAUAAUUAGGCAUGCAUCCGAGGAACCUUCAGUGUGAAAUCAAGACCAUCUUUAACAUAAACAAGCGUAAUAAUAAUCAUAAUAAUGAAUAAUAAAUUAGAUUUAUAUAACGCUUUUUACAAACCUAAGGUAGCUUUACAAAGAGGGAAAAAGAACCGUCCAAGCAGUUCAUGAAGAGAAAUGUUCAUUAGUGUUCUUUAAGUCAGAUUUUAAAAGUAGAGAAUAAAGAACGGUCAAGGAGAGACUGAGGAGGAGCGUUCCAGAGUCCGGGGACACUGACACCGAAUGACCUGCCGCCCAGAGUGAGAAGCCUGGUGGUCAGGAGUCGGUGUGUGAGGCCUGAACCUCCCCUUUAAUGCCAUUACAUUAAUAACUGCUGCCUUUAUCUGACAAACAACUCGCAAAGCAGUGGAGCUGCUCACCAGGACAGUUAGGGUUAAAGGCUGUGCUCAGGGGCCCAAUGAUUAAACCACAGGGCUGAGCAUCUUCCAGUUACAGGAACACCACCUCAGGCAGCUGAGCUAUACACAGUCCCACAAUAUGAAGCUAAAAACGAGGAUGAAAGAUGAACAGACUGGAGAAAGAAACUAUAUGAUCUUCCCCAUUGAACUGUAAUGUGUCCCACUGGACUCUCGCAAGCCAGUACUUUGCAUGUGCUUCAAUAAUAUUGCAACCUAAUUUUGCUAAAACUGAAUUGACUCUUUGAUGUAUUUUCACUGAACCUUACGGCUGUCAUUUUCCAGUAAUAUUUCUCCUGCUGAAUCUGGCAGGCCUCAAUUGCCUCGUGGAAAUGUAUUUUGUAGGGAAUUAUUGAUUCUGACUGGUACUGAACCCACAAAGGUCACACUGGGGUCAACAGUGUUGUUGCUCACUGAUGCGAGUAAUUGACUGUUUUCUGACGGAAGAAUCUGGAACGAAUCAGAAUAAAAAAACAAGCACAUAAAUAAAAUCAAAACAAUCGGAAGAAGCAGGUAUGAUGGAAAUUUCAUGCUUGAAUAAACACAACCAAUUACAAACUAAAAUAAUUAAUGCAUUUUAAGAGGAAGAGGGUACAAGUAAUCUAGUGACUCAAAAUAAUGAAUGGAAAUUAACCUCUUUUAGAUUUUUUUUAUGGCCAAAAGGCUUUGACAACAGCACAUCUUACCUCAAGGCACAUUACAGUGUUGAAAUUAUGUCGCUAUUGUUGCUAAGAGGAUAAAUACAUUAAUGUGUUUUUGUUACCUCCUGUUGUCAUAGAUACUGUCAUACAUUCCCUCAUUGUGUCUUGUGCUCACGGACAGCAAGGUGAAGAACGUCCUCGUUGCCUCUGGUCACAUCACUUUCUGUCACAGAUCCUCUACAGAAUGAUGAUCCUUCCCAAUGUGGAGUAGAGACUCACUCUCUGAACCUCCUAAAACUUGACUUGGGUCCUGGAGGGAGCGUGGGAGUUUGCCCAAACAGUCUACAUGUGCUUUGUGGACUUGGAGAAGGCAUUCGACCGCGUCCCUCGGGGAGUCCUGUGGGGAGUGCUCCGGGAGUAUGGUGUGCCGGGCUUCCUUAUAAGGGCUGUUUGGUCUCUGUAUGACCAGUGUCUGAGCUUGGUCUGCAUGGUCGGCGGUAAGUCAGACUUGUUACCAGUGAGGGUUGGACUCGGCCAGGGCUGCCCUUUGUCACCGAUUCUGUUCAUAGCUUUUAUGGACAGAAUUUCUAGGCGCAGCCAGGGCGCUGAGGGUGUCCGGUUUAGUGACCUCAGGAUUAGGUCUCUACUUUUUGCAGAUGAUGUGGUUCUGUUGGCCUCAUCGGAUUGAGACCUUCAGCUCUCACUGGAGCAGUUUGCAGCCGAGUGUGAAGCAGCUGGGAUGAAAUUCAGCACCUCCAAAUCCGGGACCAUGGUCCUCAGCCGGAAAAGGGUGGAGUGCUCUCUCAGAGUAGAGCUGCUGCUCCUCCGCAUUGAGAGGACCCAGAUGAGGUGGCUCGGGCAUCUGCUCAGGAUGCCUCCUGGACGUCACCCUGGUGAGGUGUUCCGGGGGAGGCCCCGGGAAAAGACUGCUACCAAAAUACAAGGUUACACUGAACAAAAAAUAUUUUUUUUGGUAAAAAGGGGGUGUGUCUAUAUUAUUUUUUAAACUUGGCAGAGCCAAAGGUCGCCACACCAGUUAUCGUAAUUGGCUGAGGAACGCUGGAAUGUCCAACAGGCAACUGCGUCCACCACGUGUGGCCCGAAGGACAAGGGCGCCAUGUACUGUGGAUCUACUACCUGUUUGUUUUUGAUCGUUUCGAAAACCGUUGGGAAGCUGCCACCGUGGAUUUUCCAUGGUGAAAAUAGCUGGGAAAACGGGAAGUGAACACAGAAAAGCAGGCGAGCAUCACUCCAUACAAGGACCUAGAUUGGUGCAUGUUUCCACAACAGCACUAAACGUGGUGAAAGGUCAGCUUACUGGACGUCUCGGCCCCCUGGUGUUAUACUGAGAAACAGCACUUAUAGACACAGGAUAAUGUAGUUCAAACAGAGAGUACGUUUUAGUUUGUAUGCACACACCACUGCUGGAAAAACAACUAUAUAAUGCUGCAUAAAUAUUCUGCUUCAGCAUUUUAGCUUAUUUAGUGGAUGUGUUUAUCCUAAUCCCUGAAGCAAUGGGAGGUUCAGGGUCUUGCUCAGGAGCCCAGUGGUGACAUCAUGCUGCCAAUCAUGAUUUGAACUGGCAACCUUCUGGCAUCCUACAGAUGUAGUAUCCUACCCCACUGAGGCUCACUCUAUGUCAACGUCCUUUAUCACUAAUUUAUUAUCCACUUGUUAUAUUGUACUGUUUUGUCUUACUGAAUUAUUGUCUUGAAUUACACUACUGUUUGUCCAUUGAUGACCCUGAUGAUCCCGAACUGAAAACUAACAAACUGUCAUGAUCCUCAUUUGUCUUGUCCCUGAUUGGCCAGCAGAGGUCGCUGGUCAUCCCGUAAUCACAUUGUUCCCAGCCCUCCUGCCUUAACCAUCCGCACCUGUCUCUAGAGCGUUAAUCAUGUUCGGUGUAAAUACGUUCCCUCCCUCAAUGUGUUCCUCACCUCAGUCAUUGUUGUUACAUAGAUCCUGUUUCUAUUCAGUUAAAAGUUGCAUCUGGGUCAAGUCUUUGACACAAAAUAUGCUUUGUAAAAAGUUAGUGAGAAAUGUUUCUUGAAUUACCCUGUAUAUAAACACAUUUAAUCAGUAGUAAAACAGUAAAAGCCGUGAGUCAUUUGAAAUUAAUAAAAAUAAGAAUAUAUAUCAGAUAAACAUAUAAAAGGUGUUUUAUGAACCGUUUUGUUGAGGACCAGACAAAAACAUUUUGUAUGCGUUUCUGUCUAAAUACAAUCUGGCUCAGUAAACAUAA